rnacentral:rRNA from 1 species
CAUUCCUACGGGGCGCAGCAGUAGGGAAUCUUCCACGAUGGGCGAAAGCCUGAUGGAGCAACGCCGCGUGGGUGAAGGAGGUCUUCGGAUCGUAAAACCCUGUUGCUAGAGAAGAAAGUGCGUGAGAGUAACUGUUCACAUUUCGACGGUAUCUAACCAGAGAGCCACGGCUAACUACGUGCCAGCAGCCGCGGUAAUACGUAGGUGGCAAGCGUUAUCCGGAUUUAUUGGGCGUAAAGGGAACGCAGGCGGUCUUUUAAGUCUGAUGUGAAAGCCUUCGGCUUAACCGGAGUAGUGCAUUGGAA